AAACGCCGAGCCCAGGAGGAUGUGACCAGCUGAAACCAAAAGAAGCUUCGAUUCACCAACAACCAAAAAUCCACAGAAACUCCAAAAUCCUUCAACAUAAACUGAACCGAGUUGACGAAAGAUGAAGGAGAAGCGUCCCAAAAUCCUUGCUCUGAUACCAUGAAAACAUGCUAGGUUGAGAUGAGAAUCGAGCUUCAUGUAUUUUGUUCCAAAGAGUUCGAAAGAGAGAGCUCGUACAUUCAUCUGAGUGAAG
rnacentral:lncRNA from 1 species